CGAGAGUAGUCUGGAUUAGGGCUGGCAUUUUGAACCCGAUUCGUUAAUCCGAUCCGAUCUGAUCCGUUAAAACUAGUAUUUGGGUGAAUGCUUAACGGGUUAGGUUAUUAACGGGUCAACCCGUUAGUCACCCGUUAAGUAACGAGUUAUUUUGAGUCAACCCGCGAAACCCAUUAGCACCCGUUAACACCCGUUAAGAAGGACUUAUGUGUAAUUUCAUAGUUGGAAUAGAAAACCUAGCUCUCUCUGUUCUCUCACAUUCGAACCCGACUGAGUGGCUGCUGUUCUCUGAGAACUUCUCUCCCUCAUCUUCUUCCUCAAAUUUGGCUGCCGUUCACUAAGUUUGUCAUCCUCUCUCUGACUCUGGAUCUGUUGAUUUUCAUAAUCCAUGAAAACAAGUCCCUUCAUCUUCAUCUGAAAACUUCUACGUACCUUGAUUAUUCCGUCAUUCGGUCUGGAUUUGUUGACUAUAAGUGCAAACAAGUGCCCUCAUGACCUGACAGACUUCCACCGCGUAACUGCUGCUUGCUUCAGAUCAUGUCCAAUAUUCGUGCAACGGUGCAAGUUUCGAGUCUUGAAGCGUAGGAUUGCAAGAAUCCCCCUGCAGUUACGGGUGAACUAUAUGCACGGUUUUUUGAGACGAGUUAAGAAGAUCCACCUGAAAACAACAUACAAGAUAGAGAACUAGAACUCUGGUUGUGGUAGGAACAAGCCGGCUCCUUGCUAUUUUUAGUUUAGAUUGGACUCUCAUCAUAGCAUUGUAAUAUGAUCUUGCUGCUGCGAUUAAUCUGACAGUUCUGAGGCGUUGCAUUUGAAUCAAGACUUUGUUGUGACAACAGAUCAAGCUUCCAAAUUUCCAAGGAACUAGUCUUUGACUGUUGAUCUUCCCUUCAUUGAGUCUGUAUUUGUUGAUCACAAGCGGAGUCAGAUUUGAACUUCCAUCUCUGCACCUCAAUAUUGCUCAAGAGCGGUUCAGUCUUUCUUUGAUUGCUUGGAGUAAUCCUCGCUCUUAAUAUGGUACUGGGAGAGGUUUUUCUUGGGGCGUUUCUACAGGUGCUGCUAGACAGGUUGACCCCUCGCGAGGUUCUCAACUACUUUGGAAACUUCCGGGGCCUUAGAAAGAAGCUGGAGAAGUGGAGGGCCACGUUAUCUACAAUCGCAGCGGUGUUGAGCGACGCUGAGGAAAGACAAGUGACUGACCAUCCUGUAAAACUGUUGCUUGAUGAUCUCAGAGACCUCGCUUAUGAUGUCGAAGACAUGUUGGACGAAUUUUCCACUCAAAUGUUGAAGCGCACAAUAGAGGGACGUGAUCAAGCUAGCACGAGCAACAAGGUGCGGAACUCAUUUUUCAAAAUUAAAUUCAAUUGGGAUAUGAGCUCCGAAAUGAAGAAGAUUACGGAGCGGUUGCAAGACAUAUCUGAACGGAAAGAUAAGUUUGGCUUGAAAGAUACUGGGACGUCUGCUAAGGAAUCGCGACGUCUACCUAGUUCAGACGUGUUAGAUGAAAAGCUUGUUGUUGGAAGAGAUGGUGACAAAGGGAAGAUUAUUGAAUUGUUGUCAAGAAAAUACGAGCAUGCAGGUGCUGUCAAUUUUGAUGUAGUUGCUAUAGUUGGCAUGGCCGGAGUUGGGAAGACGACACUUGCUCAACUUGUAUUCAACAACAAAGAUGAUGCCAUGAAGGAGUUUGAGCUCAAGGUCUGGGUAUCUGUGUCCGAUGACUUCGAUGUGGUGCGAGUGACAAAGGCAAUUCUUGAAUCAAUCACAUCCCGACCCGUUAAAGUGCAGGAGUUUAGUAAAAUGCAGCAUAAUUUGAGUGAGCAAUUAAGAGGAAAAAAGUUUUUAAUCGUUUUAGAUGAUAUUUGGAACAAAGGCGACUAUGAUCUAUACGAUCUCUGGACAAGACUUCAAUCCCCUUUUGGCGUCGGAGCAGGAGGAAGUAAGAUAAUUGUGACAACCCGUGACAGGAAUGUUGCAAAGACUACGGGAGCCGCUGGAGUUCAUAAUUUGGAGUGUAUGGCAGAUGGUGAUUGUUUGGAAAUAUUUGAGCGACAUGCGUUCGGGGAAAUUAAUAAUGGAAAGCCGGUAAAUUAUGAUUUAAUUGGGACAAAAAUUGUUGAAACAUGUCAUGGAUUACCAUUAGCUGCGAGGACUCUCGGUGGUCUUCUACGUUGCAAAGAAAAAGAUGAGUGGGGAGAAAUAUUGAACAACAAGUUAUGGAAUCCAGCAGAUAAGAGUGGCAUUCUCCCCGUACUAAAGUUGAGCUAUCACUAUCUUCCAUCACAUUUGAAGAGGUGUUUUGCCUAUUGCUCCAUUCUUCCAAAUGACUAUGAAUUUGGGGAGAAACAGCUCGUCCUUUUGUGGAUGGCAGAGGGUUUGAUUCAACAAAAACCUGACGACAAUAAACAAAUGGAGGAUUUGGGCCGCGACUACUUUCGAGAGCUAUUAGCAAGGUCGCUGCUUCAAGGAUCAAGCAAAAACAAUUCACGAUAUGUAAUGCAUGACCUCGUUAAUGAUUUAGCACAAUGGGCAGCAGGAGAAAUAUGUUUUAGGUUGGAAGAUAAGCAAGGUGAUAACUUGCAAAGCACUUGCUUUCAAAGGGCUCGCUAUUCGUCUUUCAUUGCUGGUGAUUUUGAUGGAGUUAUGAGAUUUGAGGCCUUUCCAAAACUUGAACGCUUGCGAACAUUCCUGCCACUUUCGCUUUCAGAUUCCAGGUGGUGGUGGAAAUAUUUGUCUCGUAAGGUUAUUUUCGAGUUAUUACCACAGAUGAAAUACUUACGAGUGCUCUCUUUCAAUGGCUAUAAAAUAACUGAGCUGCCAAAGUCAAUCGGUGAUCUGAGGUUGUUACAGUAUCUUGACCUUUCCUACACAGAUAUAACCUGUUUGCCUAAAUCAACAAGCACUCUUUACAACUUGCAAACAUUGAUAUUGGAGGGUUGUUCUAAAUUGAAGUCAUUGCCCACAAACAUGAGUAAUCUAAUUAAUUUGCGCCAUCUCAACAACUCAGGUGCAUCUUCAUUGGUAGGAAUGCCUUCACAACUAGGUCGAUUGACGAAUCUACAAUCAUUGCCUCUUUUUGUGGUGAGCAAAGGUAGUGAUCAACCAGGGGUAAGAGAGAUAGGGCCCCUAUUGCAUCUCCGAGGGACACUGUGCCUCUCAAGAUUGGAGAAUGUGACUGAUGUCGAGGAUGCCAGGAGGGCCAACUUGAUAUGCAAGGAGAGGCUUGAUUCGUUGGUCCUAAAAUGGUCUCAUUCAAGCGACACGAGAAAAACAGAAACCGUUGUGCUUGACAUGUUACAGCCUCAUACAAAGCUCAAGGAGUUCACUCUCAAGAGUUAUGCCGGAAAGGAAUUUUCAUCAUGGGUUGGAGGUUCUUUCUUCUCUAAUAUGGUGCUUGUGCGCUUAGAGGAAUGUAACAAUUGUUUAUCGUUGCCACCUCUCGGACAAUUGCCUCGUCUCAAAGAGCUUUAUAUUAGAGAAAUGAAUGCAGUCGAAAGUGUUGGUGCUGAGUUUUAUGGUGAGUGUGUCUUGCCCUUUCCGCUGUUAGAGAUUCUGGAGUUUGUGGAUAUGCGGCAUUGGAAGGUGUGGCUUCCUUUCCAACUGGAUCAAGGAAGUAGUGUUUUCCCUUGCCUGAAAAGGCUUUCAAUCAAAGGAUGUUCUAAGUUGGAAGGCAAGCUGCCAGAGAAGCUCGAUUUGUUAGCCGAACUUGAAAUUGUUAAAUGUGAGGAAUUGGUGGUUUCGAUUGCCAAUUGCAAACAACUUCGUCAAAUAAACAUUGACAGUUGUAAAGUGUUGGUACAUACAGAUGCUAAGGUUGAGUUUGAGUUGUUAGAGUCCUUGUGCCUUUCAAACAUUUCGGAGGUGAUGUCUCUGCAAACAGGGGAAUUGUUCAGGAAGGGAUUAAGCAAGGCUAGAGAUUUGAAGAUUAAUGGAUGUGAGAAGCUGACGUCGUCAUUGAAGAAUGAGGGUAGAUUAUUGCAGCAGUUGACUUGUCUUGGCCGUUUGGAAAUUGAAGACAACUCUCCUCUAGUUGAAGAAUUGGGAGAAGAAGCAGAGGAGUUGCUGCAAUUGCAAAUAUUGGAGUUAAAAAAGUGCGAAAAUCUUUUGAAGCUACCAAAAGGAUUAAAUGAGCUGUCGUCUCUUCAAGAGCUUCGCAUACACAAAUGUUCACGUCUAGUUUCUUUUCCAGAAGUUGGUCUGCCACCGUCUCUUAAAAACAUCGAGAUUAGAGAGUGCCAUUCGUUGAUAUAUUUUGCAAAAUUCCAGAUUCCCCAAUUUCUCAGAAGAAUAGAGAUAAGUAAUUGCAGAAGUUUGAAAUCACUAGUAGAACCGAACGGGUUAUUCAGCGACAACACCAAUCACUGCCUUGAAUAUAUUAGGAUCUGGAAUUGCCAAAAUCUGGAAUCCUUACCGGAUGGCUUAUGCCACCUUAGCAAUCUUCAAACUCUAAUUAUUGGGAACUGUGGAAGUCUUGUUUCCAUCCCGAGACUGAGUGCGGAGAGAAGACCCUCCAACCUGAGAGAUAUCAUGAUCAACGAAUGCGAGAAAUUGGAGGCGUUUCCCGAAGACAUGCACAAUCUCAACUCUCUUGAGGGAUUGAAGAUCGACUACCGUAAAGGUUUGACUUUUCCUCCCAACCUAACAUCACUUGAAAUUUGGAAGGUCAAGAGCUGUAAGUCAUUGUGGGAGUUGGAGUGGGGGUUGCACAGACUCACCUCUCUUAGAAAGUUGGGGAUCAGUGGAAAAAACACACGUACGGUGUCGUUUCCACCUGACAUAGUCCGGAUGGAGCCGCUCCUCCCCAAAUCUCUCACUGAACUCAGAAUAGAAGGCUUCCCGAAUCUGAAGAGACUGAGCAGCAAGGGCUUUCAAUUCCUCAACUCCCUUCAAUCUCUGCAACUCUCUAGAUGUCCAAAGCUAGCAUUCAUUCCAGAGGAGGGUCUGCCUCCUUCACUUGGUCAGCUUAUCAUCUAUAAGUGUCCUGUGCUAAAAGUGAGAUGCCAACCAGGAAAAGGACUCUACUGGCACAAAAUAUCCAACAUCCCUAAAAUAGAGAUACAUGAAGCUAAUGGUCCAGGUUUUGGGGGUUGAGGAGUGGCUGCUUUAGGAGGCCUUCAAUUGGCGACAACCUGGAUACUUCUCGGCCAACGUUUCUUCUCCCGGAUUCCUAUGUUUGCUGAUAGCACUACCCUUUCAAAUUUUAUUAGGUCGAGCUUUUUUCAAUUUUCAAAUUUAAACAUUUUUUUGGGUCAACAGUCCAAUAAUUCGAACUUGUUUUAUCUUUCAUUAAGAUAAUUCUACCAAAAACCUGACCUCAUUUUGUAUCAAGCUUGAGCUUUUAUGAAAUCAUUUGAGUCAAACUUGAGCACAUAUUUACGAGCUUUAUUUGGGACUGACCGAAUUUGAAUCUUGAGCAAUGUUUGUUAAACCAAGGUCAUUUAAUUACGAUCUGAGUUAUUAAUAAGUUGUGUUGUUUUGUGUUGGGUUAGUGGGUCUUGCAAGACAUUGCUUGAUGUUUAAAUUUGACAAACAAUAUUUUAUCAAGUUCUUGAUUCUACAAGUAUCCAACUCGUUAAAAGGUUCUUAAUGAGCAGCUUGAUAACGAAUCGACUUGUUAACAUAUUAACUCGAAACCUGCUAUUUUUAUGUUGUUUUAUAUCGAAUUAACGGGUCGUGUAAAAAAUUAUCAAACCUAACCGGAUCAUGCCAAACUAUUGAUGGUCAAUGACUUAUUUGAAAGUGAUUUUAAAGUGACUGAAAUUGAUUUCAGAUUCCAAAAACACUUUUUAAGUGCUUUUUGGAAUAAUCUUGGGCGUCUCCACCCAUUGCCAAUUGGUUUCGGGUUGGAUGCUCAAUUUGUAAUUAGAAUAACAGGUAUUGUUGUUUUUUUUUAUUAUCUUUCAUUGUUUGAGUGGGGGAUAUAAUCUUUAUACAAAUUGCUUCCUCAUGGUUUUUAUGACUGGUUUCUGUAUCUACUUUUAAUGCUUAGUACAUUAAGGGCAUCGGGUACUUCCUAAGUUCUCAUGGUCAAGUGUUUGUAUGGUUCUGUAUGUAUGUUUGUGAUCUUCAUCCCGACUUUGAAUGCGUAAACUAGAUGGAUGAAGAGGUUUUGUUGUUAUUGCCUUGCCCAACACAAGGAUUUCUUUAAGGGCUAAAUAGAUUUCUUUUAACUGGGUUCUUAUGUCUUCGACGAAGGUUAGAGUUCUUUAUCCUUUUUGGUAUUUCAGUCAAUUGGUGUAUCUUUCGACAUCUGUGCUAAGUGCUUCGUGAAAAUUGAUAUAUGUUGUCUAAAUGGUUGUGUUUCAGUUGCCUUUUCUGAGCUUCUUCCUUCCUGUCUGAUAUCUAUUUUCUAUCCUUCGUCAUAGGAUAUUAGCUCCAUGGUGUGCUGGUUGCUUUAUGUUUGUAUAUUCUCGUGUUUUUUCAUUACAGUGUUGAACUCAGUGAAAUGCUAGUAUGAAUUGGAGUGGUUCCCAUUGUCUUUGAGUGAUUCCUAUCACAACAAUCAGGGAGGAAAUCCCUCUCUUUUUUUCACUCUAGGACUAUCCAAAAGAUGCAGCACUGAAGAAGAGUUAGGACUUUAACUCAGUGUCGCAAAAACCUACUACCAAGAGAAAGUUUGUAAGCACUUAUGUUCCGACUCAGAUCCUUACCAAAGUUUUUUUGAAAGUUGAAAUGAUAUAGCACUAGGCCCAAGGUUGAGAGCAGGUUAGAAUUGUUAGAUUGGUGUUUGGCAUGUAAAGACUAGUGGUAUGAUAUUGGGGUACGUUUUUAGGUAUAUGGGGCCAGUACCUGUAAGCUUGAAGACAACCUAAAUAUGCCCGGGAUGUAACAGAGUGCUUGCCUAUACUUCUGUUUUUGUAGUUAAGAGAACGUAAUUGCUUAGCAAUCAUUAAAUUUGUAUACUUAUUACUUGGGUGCCCUCUGCCUUGCUAUGCUGCAUAACAAUGAGAAUAUAUUACGGAAUUCUAACAGGAAAAAGGCAGGGGACUCCCAAAAUUUGGUGAAUGGGACGUCAAUGAUCCUGCUUCGGCUGAGGGGUUUACUGUGAUCUUUAACAAGGCUAGGGAUGAGAAGAAGACAGGUGGAAAACCCGAGUCACCAGGAAAGGUUGAUCCUAAUAUCAGGCAUGGAGGAGGAGUGGAUCCUGGCACUAGCAGGCCUUCGUCUAAAAAAUGGUUUUGCUGCAUUCAUCAACCACCGGCAGAGUUUUGACAAUGUUGUUCUCCUAAGUGCUUCGAUGGAGGAGCACGAUGUUCUGUAACUGGCUCCACUAUAUUUCCUCACUUAAUCUAUGUCUAUGAAAUUGGCAGCUAGGGAAGUGAAGUUUGAAGCAAUGGUUAGCAGUUUGCCUAAGGAAAUCGUACAUGAUAUCCUUUUGAGACUACCUCCUAAAGCUUUGAUCAGAUGCACCUCGGUGUCCAAGCCUUGGAACUCCAUGAUAAAAAGUCCAAGCUUUAUUCGCACCCACCUCAGCCUUACCAUCGAUUUUAACCAGUUUGGCACCCACCAACUCCUUCUGCAUUGUGUUCGUGGAGACAAUCCAGUGGAGCAGAAUUACUAUUUGCAUUAUGAUAACCAUGCUUUUGAUGAGUACUGCAAGCUAGAGUAUCCAAGUGUUCCCAAGCGCAAUAGAUUUCUUCGUGUGGUCGGAAUGCGAGGAUCCGAAUGCUUUUUAUGAGGCUUAUUCACUUGCUAGAGGCUUGUGGAGUAGUCCUCGUUCUUUUGAUCCCGUUUGUAAAGUUUUAUUCUUGCAAAUUUCAGGCUUUUGUGAACGGGGCAGUUCAUUGGCUGGCAUGGCGCUGCUUGAACGAUGGUCGUUAUCAAAAUUUCAUUUUAGCAAUUGAUGUGGACGGUGAGUUAUUUUGCGAGAUAAGGGUGCUAAAGAGUUUCAGACAGGAUGAACCAUUAGAUUAUCACUUGUCUGUUUCAGGUGAUGGAAACUCCAUUGCUAUGUUCACGACGACGCGUGGUCGUAAUUGUCCUGAGGAUUUUCUUGACAUAUGGGUGAUGAAAGAGUAUGGCAUCGAGGAUUCAUGGGCCAAACUGAUAACUCUCCACCGUAUCCGGAAACAAGGGUGCCCUACAAGCCCUUAUGUUUUAGGAACAGUGGUGAAGUGGUGUCCUGACUUUAUCACUUGUUCUAGAAAAAAACGUCGCAUGUACUGGGAUUUUCUCCGGGAUGCCUUGUGAUAUUCUGACAUUGCUGGAUUCUUGUUAGAGAUGAACAUUUUUCCUUCUGUUUGUCUGUUAAUUUACAGACCUAGAAGAAGUUGCUUAUCACAUGUUGCCAAUGUUCAUGGAUAUAUACAGUUAUAUUAAUUUCCUUGAAAUUUCUUGUGACA